rnacentral:rRNA from 1 species
GGAUCCAGACUUUGAUUAUGGCUCAGGAUGAACGCUAGCUACAGGCUUAACACAUGCAAGUCGAGGGGAAACGAUAUUGGAAGCUUGCUUCCGAUAGGCGUCGACCGGCGCACGGGUGAGUAACGCGUAUCCAACCUGCCCACCACUUGGGGAUAACCUUGCGAAAGUAAGACUAAUACCCAAUGAUAUCUCUAGAAGACAUCUGAAAGGGAUUAAAGAUUUAUCGGUGAUGGAUGGGGAUGCGUCUGAUUAGCUUGUUGGCGGGGUAACGGCCCACCAAGGCGACGAUCAGUAGGGGUUCUGAGAGGAAGGUCCCCCACAUUGGAACUGAGACACGGUCCAAACUCCUACGGGAGGCAGCAGUGAGGAAUAUUGGUCAAUGGACGAGAGUCUGAACCAGCCAAGUAGCGUGCAGGAUGACGGCCCUAUGGGUUGUAAACUGCUUUUAUAAGGGAAUAAAGUGAGCUACGUGUAGCUUUUUGCAUGUACCUUAUGAAUAAGGACCGGCUAAUUCCGUGCCAGCAGCCGCGGUAAUACGGAAGGUCCGGGCGUUAUCCGGAUUUAUUGGGUUUAAAGGGAGCGUAGGCCGGAGAUUAAGCGUGUUGUGAAAUGUAGAUGCUCAACAUCUGCACUGCAGCGCGAACUGGUUUCCUUGAGUACGCACAAAGUGGGCGGAAUUCGUGGUGUAGCGGUGAAAUGCUUAGAUAUCGCGAAGAACUCCGAUUGCGAAGGCAGCUCACUGGAGCGCAGCUGACGCUGAAGCUCGAAAGUGCGGGUAUCGAACAGGAUUAGAUACCCUGGUAGUCCGCACGGUAAACGAUGGAUGCCCGCUGUUGGUCUGAAUAGGUCAGCGGCCAAGCGAAAGCAUUAAGCAUCCCACCUGGGGAGUACGCCGGCAACGGUGCAACUCAAAGGAAUUGACGG